rnacentral:rRNA from 1 species
CAGCAGUGGGGAAUUUUGGACAAUGGGCGAAAGCCUGAUCCAGCCAUUCCGCGUGCAGGAUGAAGGCCCUCGGGUUGUAAACUGCUUUUGUACGGAACGAAAAGGUCUCUACUAAUACUAGGGGCUCAUGACGGUACCGUAAGAAUAAGCACCGGCUAACUACGUGCCAGCAGCCGCGGUAAUACGUAGGGUGCAAGCGUUAAUCGGAAUUACUGGGCGUAAAGCGUGCGCAGGCGGUUAUAUAAGACAGAUGUGAAAUCCCCGGGCUCAACCUGGGAACUGCAUUUGUGACUGUAUAGCUAGAGUACGGCAGAGGGGGAUGGAAUUCCGCGUGUAGCAGUGAAAUGCGUAGAUAUGCGGAGGAACACCGAUAGCGAAGGCAAUCCCCUGGGCCUGUACUGACGCUCAUGCACGAAAGCGUGGGGAGCAAACAGGAUUAGAUACCCUGGUAGUCCACGCCCUAAACGAUGUCAACUGGUUGUUGGGUCUUAACUGACUCAGUAACGAAGCUAACGCGUGAAGUUGACCGCCUGGGGAGUACGGCCGCAAGGUUG